rnacentral:misc_RNA from 1 species
CAGAGUUCUUGCCCUUACGGGUAGAUCUCCCACCCUUGAAUACAUACCUUUGUUGCUUUGGCGGGCCGCGCUUGCGCUACUGGCUUCGGCUAGUACGUGCCCGCCAGAGGACCACAACUCUUGUUUACAGUGUCGUCUGAGUACUAUACAAUAGUUA